AUCAACUAUAUCAGCCGCCAUACAUUUAUAUGCUGCUGAUCAUACAACAAAUUAAUCAGACCCACCCACCAUCAGCCACUAUCCUAUGGAUCUAAAUUCUACUUCACGCAGUUACACGCAUUAGACAAUCUCAGGUCUUGAUUUCUCAUCUGACGGCUAUAAUUCAUGCUUCGUGUACAUGUUUUUUAUUGGAUGACUAAAGUGUAUGAGAAUGAUCCUUCCAAACAUUUUCGUGGAGGAUGCAACGAAGGCUCCGCCAGUGACACGUGUCAACAUCUGAGACGUGAAGGUGACGUCAUUCUGAUGACGUAAUAUUAGGUCCAGCUCAUCGGACGUUUAUGACACUGUUGAUUGUGGACACUGAUACUCCCAAAUAAUAUCCAUAAGAAUAUCACUUUCAUGGCUGUUUAGGGUGCAAAUGUAAGAUAAUCUUACACUAUUAUUAGAUGACACAAGUCUUUUAUAUAAACUUGCGCAUCAAAAUUUGAUUUAAUGAUAAGAUCUAUUGUUUUAAUUAAUAAAAUUAAGUUUGCUAAUGGUAACAGACUUGUUUUAUUUGUAUAUAUGUACUCAUUUACGAUUUAAUUA